AGAGUUUGAUCAUGGCUCAGAUUGAACGCUGGCGGCAGGCCUAACACAUGCAAGUCGAGCGGUAGCAGGCCUUCGGGCGCUGACGAGCGGCGGACGGGUGAGGAACACGUAGGAAUUUGCCUAGUAGUGGGGGAUAGCCCAGAGAAAUUUGGAGUAAUACCGCAUAUGCCCUGAGGGGGAAAGUGGGGGACCGCAAGGCCUCACGCUAUUAGAGAAGCCUGCGUCGGAUUAGCUAGUUGGUAGGGUAAAGGCCUACCAAGGCGACGAUCCGUAGCUGGUCUGAGAGGAUGAUCAGCCACACUGGGACUGAGACACGGCCCAGACUCCUACGGGAGGCAGCAGUGGGGAAUAUUGGACAAUGGGCGAAAGCCUGAUCCAGCCAUGCCGCGUGUGUGAAGAAGGCCUUCGGGUUGUAAAGCACUUUAAGUGGGGAGGAAAAGCGGUACGUGAAUAUCGUGCUGCCGUGACGUUACCCACAGAAUAAGCACCGGCAAACUCCGUGCCAGCAGCCGCGGUAAUACGGAGGGUGCGAGCGUUAAUCGGAAUUACUGGGCGUAAAGCGCACGUAGGCGGUCAUGUAAGUGGGAUGUGAAACCCCCGGGCUUAACCUGGGAAUUGCAUACCAGACUGCAAGGCUAGAGUAUGAGAGAGGGUGGUGGAAUUUCCGGUGUAGCGGUGAAAUGCGUAGAGAUCGGAAGGAACAUCAGUGGCGAAGGCGGCCACCUGGCUUAAUACUGACGCUGAGGUGCGAAAGCGUGGGGAUCAAACAGGAUUAGAUACCCUGGUAGUCCACGCCGUAAAC
rnacentral:rRNA from 1 species